UGUGUUCUCUCACCUGAGGGGGGUGGUGUUCUGUCCUUUCUGUCACACCUACCUGUCUGCCACGAUCCAUUGUAGACACCUGAACAUUCGUCUCUAUGCCGGGUGUCUUUCAGAAGUCCUCUGGCUACCUUUACACAGGCAGCCCAGUUCUGAUCUUUUGCCACCUAAUUGAUAUUUUGCCAAUUAUUGGGUAAAAGAUAAGAACUGGACUGCCAGCGUAAAAGGACAUAACGUAAUGCCCUACCGCAGUAUGACGUGGAGAAAAGUCUACACAUCAUUGCCUUGCCAUUCCACCAAAAUACAUGGAAUGCCCAUCGGAGGGACUACGGUCUGGGAUGGUUAUAGAAGGUCUGGGAUGGUUAUAGAAGGUCUACAGGGAUCUAUAUGUGAUCCGAUAGGGUCUAAGUGGAUAUAAGGUCUGGGAUGGUUAUAGAAGGUCUACAGGGAUCUAUAUGUGAUCCGAUAGGGUCUCAGUGGAUAUAAGGUCUGGGAUGGUUAUAGAAGGUCUACAGGGAUCUAUAUGUGAUCCGAUAGGGUCUAAGUGGAUAUAAGGUCUACAGGGAUCUAUAUGUGAUCCGAUAGGGUCUAAGUGGAUAUAAGGUCUACAGGGAUCUAUAUGUGAUCCGAUAGGGUCUAAGUGGAUAUAAGGUCUGGGAUGGUUAUAGAAGGUCUACAGGGAUCUAUCUAUAUGUGAUCCGAUAGGGUCUCAGUAGAUAUAAGGUCUGGGAUGGUUAUAGAAGAUCUACAGGAAUCUAUAUGUGAUCCGAUAGGGUCUCAGUGGAUAUAAGGUCUGGGAUGGUUAUAGAAGAUCUACAGGAAUCUAUAUGUGAUCCGAUAGGGUCUCAGUAGAUAUAAGGUCUGGGAUGGUUAUAGAAGAUCUACAGGAAUCUAUAUGUGAUCCGAUAGGGUCUCAGUAGAUAUAAGGUCUGGGAUGGUUAUAGAAGAUCUACAGGAAUCUAUAUGUGAUCCGAUAGGGUCUCAGUGGAUAUAAGGUCUGCAUGACACUAUACACUUGGGACACUUAUUAACAUGUUUCCAUAUAAUCAUAUUGGUGUGUGUUAUUGUGUAAGUGUGUGUGGUGUGUGUGUCUUAGUGUGUAAGAGGUGCCCCGGUUUAGGCUAUACUGCUGUGCUAGCCAAGGGAUUUUUAGGUUGUAUAAGCAAUAUUAAAUAUGGACUGUUGUUUUUUUUGGUGUGUAUUUUUGGAAGUGGCAGGGAGGAGGGAACGGAGAGGCGUAUUGCUUCUUAUUUCUCCCAUAUAUACACAUAUUGAUGAUGUAACAGCAGUAAAUUAUUUAUCCUAAA